AGAACUGGACACCUCGGGGGUUUCCUGCUUUAUGGCGAAGGAUGGAGUUUUGCUCUUGUUGCCCAAGCUGGAGUGCAAUGGUGUGAUCUUGGCUCACUGCAACCUCUGCUUCCUGGGUUCAAGUGAUUCCCCUGCCUCAGCCUCCCGAGUAGCAGGGAUUACAGACACAUAUACUCAUAGAAAUGAGUUAUUUAAAGAAGACGGUCCAGAUUCCACAGUCCAAAAAAAAAAAAAAAAAGAGGUUUGCCCUGCUUCUGAAGGAGUCAGGAUACGAAUGCAGAGGUCUUCCUGUUGGCUCACGUAUCAGACCUUCAACGUCAACAUUAAAUGUUGAAAGAACAUCAGUGUAUCAGCACAGCAAAGAUUCCAAAUGCCAGGCUGGAUUGCCUCCAAUUACCAGGACCUCCAGGCUUCUCCUCCUUUCAAGAACUUUCUGAUCCUGGAUCCAGUCUAAAUGUUGGUUAUAAACUCACCUGACAUCCACAGGGCCCUUCCAAAGUACUGUCAAGGCUGACUGCUGGUGCCUGGAACCUGCACACCCUCCUGGGACUCUGCAUCUCUGCUGGGGCUGGUUUCUCCUCUGAGCCACCUUAAGGAAUCCCACCCUGACCCGGUCACAGCUCAGCAUGCCUCCCUCUACUACUUGCUCAGCAUUUUGUGUCUAUCUAGACUGAAGCCUUUGCUUUCUCUCUGUGAUUGUGGUGAAAGUUCAGUUUGCUUUCCUCUCUCUAGAAUGUCAGCACGAAGGCAGAGGCAUGGUCUCCUGAGUUCCAUAACCCCAAAGCCUAACUCCCUGCCUGCCACACUGAGGGGCUCAGUAGACAUUGACUUACUAAAUUGAAUAGUUGAGUAAUAAUGCUCUUUGAAAUAAUUUGGAGUUAGAUCUUGAGCCUUGUGCGGCCAGGGGAUGCAUGAGGGCACAUCAUAAAAACUGAAGGUAACUGAGCAUGCCAGCGGUUGGGGUGAGAAAUUUGCAUGGAGCACUCCAGACACAGAGGCAGCAAAACCCAAGUGCUGGGGAGUCAGAGUGAGAGAGUGAAGGGGCACUGAGUGCCUCUUUAGGAGCUGGAUCAAAACCUGAGAUGAUCUGGCCACAUGGUGCAGACUGAGCACGCACUUGGGAGAGAAAUGGGCCGGGAGGAGAGGAGAGAGGUUCACCACAGGACAGUGGAUGGCUGGGAAUAGAAGCCCUCCCCAUGGUGG
rnacentral:antisense_RNA from 1 species